rnacentral:rRNA from 1 species
UACGAAGGGAGCUAGCGUUGUUCGGAAUCACUGGGCGUAAAGCGCACGUAGGCGGAUGUGUCAGUCAGGGGUGAAAUCCCGGAGCUCAACUUCGGAACUGCCCUUGAUACAGCACGUCUUGAGUCCGGAAGAGGUGGGUGGAAUUCCUAGUGUAGAGGUGAAAUUCGUAGAUAUUAGGAAGAACACCGGUGGCGAAGGCGGCUCUCUGGACCGAGACUGACGCUGAGGCGCGAAAGCGUGGGGAGCGAACAGG